GAUGAACGCUGGCGGCGUGCCUAAUACAUGCAAGUCGAGCGAACAGACGAGGAGCUUGCUCCUCUGACGUUAGCGGCGGACGGGUGAGUAACACGUGGAUAACCUACCUAUAAGACUGGGAUAACUUCGGGAAACCGGAGCUAAUACCGGAUAAUAUAUUGAACCGCAUGGUUCAAUAGUGAAAGACGGUUUUGCUUUCACUUAUAGAUGGAUCCGCGCCGCAUUAGCUAGUUGGUAAGGUAACGGUUUACCAAGGCGACGAUGCGUAGCCGACCUGAGAGGGUGAUCGGCCACACUGGAACUGAGACACGGUCCAGACUCCGACGGGAGGCAGCAGUAGGGAAUCGUCCGCAAUGGGCGAAAGCCUGACGGAGCAACGCCGCGUGAGUGAUGAAGGUCUUCGGAUCGUAAAACUCUGUUAUUAGGGAAGAACAAAUGUGUAAGUAACUAUGCACGUCUUGACGGUACCUAAACAGAAAGCCACGGCUAACUACGUG
rnacentral:rRNA from 1 species